AGAGUUUGAUCAUGGCUCAGAAUGAACGUUGGCGGCGUGCUUAACACAUGCAAGUCGAGCGAGAAAGCUUCUUCGGAAGUGAGUAAAGCGGCGGACGGGUGAGUAACGCGUGAGAAUCUGCCCUUUAGUGAAGAAUACCUUCGAGAAAUUGAAGUUAAUACUGCAUACGUCCCUUCGGGGAGAAAGGUGGCUUUUAUGCUGCCGCUAAAGGAUGAGCUCGCGUACUAUUAGCUUGUUGGUGGGGUAAUGGCCUACCAAGGCUAUGAUGGUUAACCGGCCUGAGAGGGUGUUCGGUCACAUUGGAACUGAGAUACGGUCCAGACUCCUACGGGAGGCAGCAGUGGGGAAUAUUGCGCAAUGGGCGAAAGCCUGACGCAGCGACGUCGCGUGGAGGAUGAAGGUUUUCGGAUUGUAAACUCCUGUUAAGCGGGAAGAAAGCCUAAGCUUUAAUAGAGCUUGGGAAUGACGGUACCGCUAGAGAAAGCACCGGCUAACUUCGUGCCAGCAGCCGCGGUAAUACGAGGGGUGCAAACGUUAUUCGGAAUUACUGGGCGUAAAGGGUGUGUAGGUGGUAUAUUAAGUCUGUUGUUAAAGGUUCCGGCUUAACCGGAGGUCAGCGAUAGAAACUGAUAUGCUAGAGGAUGGAAGAGAGAAGUGGAAUUCCUGGAGUAGCGGUAAAAUGCGUAGAUCUCAGGAGGAACACCAAUUGCGAAGGCAGCUUCUUGGUCCAUUUCUGACGCUGAAACACGAAAGCGUGGGGAGCAAACAGGAUUAGAUACCCUAGUAGUCC
rnacentral:rRNA from 1 species